rnacentral:rRNA from 1 species
GCCUAACGCAUGCAAGUCGAGCGAGGACCGCCCGGUGGCAACACCGGGUUGGUGCCUAGCGGCGAACGGGUGAGUAACACGUGGGUAACCUGCCCCCGACACCGGGAUAAGCCUGGGAAACUGGGUCUAAUACCGGAUAUUGAGCCUCCGCCGCAUGGUGGGGGCUGGGAAGGGUCUCCGGUCGGGGAUGGGCCCGGGUUCUAUCAGCUGGUUGGUGGGGUAACGGCCUACCAAGGCGACGACGGGUAGCCGGCCUGGGAGGGUGUACGGCCACACUGGGACUGAGACACGGCCCAGACUCCUACGGGAGGCAGCAGCGGGGAAUAUUGCGCAAUGGGCGCACGCCUGACGCAGCGACGCCGCGUGCGGGACGAAGGCCUUCGGGUUGUAAACCGCUUUCAGCAGGGACGAAGCGAAAGUGACGGUACCUGCAGAAGAAGGUCCGGCCAACUACGUGCCAGCAGCCGCCGUAAUAC